rnacentral:rRNA from 1 species
GACGAACGCUGGCGGCGUGCUUAACACAUGCAAGUCGAACGGAAAGGCCCUGCUUUUGUGGGGUGCUCGAGUGGCGAACGGGUGAGUAACACGUGAGUAACCUGCCCUUGACUUUGGGAUAACUUCAGGAAACUGGGGCUAAUACCGGAUAGGAGCUCCUGCUGCAUGGUGGGGGUUGGAAAGUUUCGGCGGUUGGGGAUGGACUCGCGGCUUAUCAGCUUGUUGGUGGGGUAGUGGCUUACCAAGGCUUUGACGGGUAGCCGGCCUGAGAGGGUGACCGGCCACAUUGGGACUGAGAUACGGCCCAGACUCCUACGGGAGGCAGCAGUGGGGAAUAGUGCACAAUGGGCGGAAGCCUGAUGCAGCAACGCAGCGUGCGGGAUGACGGCCUUCGGGUUGUAAACCGCUUUCGCCUGUGACGAAGCGUGAGUGACGGUAAUGUGUAAAGAAGCACCGGCUAACUACGUG